rnacentral:rRNA from 1 species
GACGAACGCUGGCGGCGUGCUUAACACAUGCAAGUCGAACGGAAAGGCCCUGCUUUUGUGGGGUGCUCGAGUGGCGAACGGGUGAGUAACACGUGAGUAACCUGCCCUUGACUUUGGGAUAACUUCAGGAAACUGGGGCUAAUACCGGAUAGGAGCUCCUGCUGCAUGGUGGGGGUUGGUAAGUUUCGGCGGUUGGGGAUGGACUCGCGGCUUAUCAGCUUGUUGGUGGGGUAGUGGCUUACCAAGGCUUUGACGGGUAGCCGGCCUGAGCGGGUGACCGGCCACAUUGGGACUGAGAUACGGCCCAGACUCCUACGGGAGGCAGCAGUGGGGAAUAUUGCACAAUGGGCGGAAGCCUGAUGCGGCAACGCCGCGUGCGGGAUGACGGCCUUCGGGUUGUAAACCGCUUUCGCCUGUGACGAAGCGUGAGUGACGGUAAUGGGUAAAGAAGCACCGGCUAACUACGUG